rnacentral:rRNA from 1 species
UACGUAGGGUGCGAGCGUUGUCCGGAUUUAUUGGGCGUAAAGAGCUCGUAGGCGGUCUGUUGCGUCGGUUGUGAAAACCCGGGGCUUAACUCCGGGCCUGCAGUCGAUACGGGCAGACUAGAGUUCGGCAGGGGAGACUGGAAUUCCUGGUGUAGCGGUGAAAUGCGCAGAUAUCAGGAGGAACACCGGUGGCGAAGGCGGGUCUCUGGGCCGAUACUGACACUGAGGAGCGAAAGCGUGGGGAGCGAACAGG